rnacentral:rRNA from 1 species
UACGUAGGUGGCAAGCGUUGUCCGGAUUUACUGGGCGUAAAGAGCGCGCAGGCGGUCGAUCAAGUCGCGGGUGAAAGCCCCCGGCUCAACUGGGGAGGGUCACGCGAUACUGAUCGACUCGAAGGCAGGAGAGGGUAGUGGAAUUCCCGGUGUAGUGGUGAAAUGCGUAGAUAUCCGGAGGAACACCGGUGGCGAAGGCGGCUUCCUGGACCGACACUGACGCUGAGGCGCGAAAGCUAGGGGAGCAAACGGG